ACCUACGGGACGCAGCAGUGGGGAAUAUUGCACAAUGGGGGAAACCCUGAUGCAGCGACGCCGCGUGAGUGAAGAAGUAUCUCGGUAUGUAAAGCUCUAUCAGCAGGAAAGAUAAUGACGGUACCUGACUAAGAAGCCCCGGCUAACUACGUGCCAGCAGCCGCGGUAAUACGUAGGGGGCAAGCGUUAUCCGGAUUUACUGGGUGUAAAGGGAGCGUAGACGGCAGCGCAAGCCAGGAGUGAAAGCCCGGGGCCCAACCCCGGGACUGCUCUUGGAACUGCGUGGCUAGAGUGCAGGAGGGGCA
rnacentral:rRNA from 1 species